rnacentral:rRNA from 1 species
UUAAAGCUUAACUUUUCCCCCCCCCCUCACUCCGUAAGAUUAAAUGACCCCUUACCCAAUAUUGAAUGACUUCAUAAUUAUAUGAAAAUCAUCAUGCCGGAACUAGUAACAAGAAUUUAACAUUCUCCAAAAUGUAAGCAUAAACUAAAAUGGACUGCCCACUAGUGAUUAACGUAAAUGAAACUAAUACACCAACAACCCAAGAAAAACCUGUAUGCCCGCUCCAAACGUUAACCUGACACAAGAACACUUAGGGAAAGAUUAAAAGAAAAAGAAGGAACUCGGCAAACUUUAACCCCGCCUGUUUACCAAAAACAUCGCCUCUUGAUAUAAUAUAAGAGGUCCAGCCUGCCCAGUGAAAAUUCAACGGCCGCGGUACACUGACCGUGCAAAGGUAGCAUAAUCACUCGCCCCUUAAUUAGGGGCCUGUAUCAACGGCAUCACGAGGGUUAUUCUGUCUCCUUUUUCUAAUCAGUGAAACUGAUCUACCCGUGAAAAAGCGGGUAUUUAACUAUAAGACGAGAAGACCCCAUGGAGCUUUAAACCAAAGGCAAAUUAAAUCUACAUACCACCACAGCUAUUAUACCAUGCCCAUCGGUUUUAGGUUGGGGCAACCGCGGAGAAAAACUUAACCUCCACAACGAAAAGACCUUAGUCUUUACCCCAGAGCCACCGCUCUAAGAACUAGGAUACUAACAGAUAAUGAUCCAACUCUCUGUAGUUGAUCAACGGACCAAGUUACCCUGGGGAUAACAGCGCAAUCUACUUUGAGAGUUCUUAUUGACAAGUGGGUUUACGACCUCGAUGUUGGAUCAGGGUAUCCUAGUGGUGCAGCCGCUACUAAAGGUUCGUUUGUUCAACGAUUAAAACC